rnacentral:rRNA from 1 species
ACGGGUGAGUAAUGCAUCGGGACCUACCUGAACGUGGGGGAUAACGUAGGGAAACUUACGCUAAUACCGCAUACGUCCUACGGGAGAAAGCGGGGGACCUUCGGGCCUCGCGCGGUCAGACGGACCGAUGUUCGAUUAGCUAGUUGGUAAGGUAACGGCUUACCAAGGCGACGAUCGAUAGCUGGUCUGAGAGGAUGAUCAGCCACACUGGAACUGAGACACGGUCCAGACUCCUACGGGAGGCAGCAGUGGGGAAUAUUGGACAAUGGGCGCAAGCCUGAUCCAGCAAUGCCGCGUGUGUGAAGAAGCCCUUCGGGUUGUAAAGCACUUUUAUCAGGAGCGAAAUACUACCGGUUAAUAACCGGUGGGGCUGACGGUACCUGAGGAAUAAGCACCGGCUAACUUCGUGCCAGCAGCCGCGGUAAUACGAAGGGUGCAAGCGUUAAUCGGAAUUACCGGGCGUAAAGGGUGCGUAGGCGGUUAGUUAAGUCUGUCGUGAAAUCCCCGGGCUCAACCUGGGAAUGGCGAUGGAUACUGGCUAGCUAGAGUGUGUCAGAGGAUGGUGGAAUUCCCGGUGU